rnacentral:rRNA from 1 species
AAUCAACGCUGGCGGCGUGCCUAACACAUGCAAGUCGAACGCGAAAGCCCCGCAAGGGGCAAGUAGAGUGGCAAACGGGUGAGUAACACGUGGGUGACCUGCCUUCGAGCGGGGGAUAACGUCCCGAAAGGGACGCUAAUACCGCAUAACAUCCUGCCUUUGAAGAGGUGGAGAUCAAAGCUGGGGAUCGCAAGACCCGGCACUUGAAGAGGGGCCCGCGUCUGAUUAGCUAGNGGUGGGGUAAUGGCCUACCAAGGCAACGAUCAGUAUCCGGCCUGAGAGGGCGGACGGACACACUGGGACUGAGACACGGCCCAGACUCCUACGGGAGGCAGCAGUGGGGAAUUGUUCGCAAUGGGCGCAAGCCUGACGACGCAACGCCGCGUGGAGGAUGAAGAUUUCGGAUCGUAAACUCCUGUCGAAUGGGACGAACAGAUUACGGGUUAACAGCCUGUAGUCCUGACGGUAACCGUUAAAGGAAA